CAAAGGGGCCUGCAGGGCAUAAGAGAGAGAAAUCACAUGGCUGCUCUUCAAAAGGGGACCUGUGUAAGGCAGCCGGCAAAGUGCGUGGGAUCACACUCAGAAUGCAGAUGUGUGCAUGAGUGUUUAUGUGGAUGACAGCAUCAGAUGGAGAGUGUCGCAUGCCUUCCUGUUCCUGUACCGCCCUCCAACCCCAGAGCCGCAGACUCAAGGCGGUUUCCAGAAUCAAACAAUUUCACGCAGCUACUGGAGGAGGAAAUGAACUGAGCCCAGAGCAAUAAUAAAAUUAUACAAAUGUUAUUACAGACUUGCCUGCUACUGUCCUACUUUAAUUCAAAUUUGGGCACUCCAGGCGGUGCUGGUGGCAGAGACCUUCCUGAAUAAAUCAACAUUAGCUUACGUCUAAAUUAUUAAGGAAGUGGGAGACUUUCUUGUUUAUAGUAUGAAUUAUUAAACAAGUGUUUAACGCUGUUUUUCUUCAUGAAUCCCCAAAUAUUAAUUGCUAAUGACAUUUAAGGUGUAUGCUGUGUCUUUUUGCCCUCUUUGCUGUUUGCUGAAAAUGAGGAAUUUGAGAAUUCAACUCGCAGGUCUGCUCUUUUCCAGACAAACAAACUUCGAAGUGCAAAUAAAUCUUUGAAACUAUCAUAAAGCCGCGAUUAGUUUUCUCAUUGAACGUAAGCAAGGCGACAUCAAUGAUUAUAAUGUGUUUUCUCUGUAACACCUUGCUAAAAUGUCAUCCAAGACAGUGACAAACAGACAGCUGAGAAAUCUGUGCUUAUUAUCCUGCCAGCUCCUAUUUGUUUCCCAUAAUCAGGAUGUCUGCAGCAACAUUUAGGAAGUUUGUCAGAGGACUCGCAUCUGAUUAGCAGAAUACAAGGUCUUAUGGUUUAAACAAGACUGAGGAAACAAUGAAGGACAGACAUCUUCCUAUGAUGAAAUCUAUUCAUGAUCUUCAGGUGACAGGUCAUUUAAUCUGUCUGAGCCUGUAAUCCAGAUCAAAUCUUUAAAGACAAAAAUCUCUCAUGCAUCACUACCAUGAAUAUUUGUUUUAAUUAAAAAACACUUUUUCAAGAAAUAAGUAUAAAAAAACACAAAAAUGUAUUUACAACUCUUUAUUUAAUAGCAAAUUGAGGCAAUGCCACACUGAAUUAAUGACCUGGUUAAAUUUCAAAUUGAAUUACCACACCAAGGCUUAUGAAAAAAAAAAAACUGACAUUUGUCCACCCAGGCCUAAAUCUUCACAUCUGAGGCUCACGGCUGCCCUCGUCUGGAUGAAACCAAACAAGGAAAUCUCUUUAUUAAUGCAGGAGAUUCACUCUUUGGCCAGCAGGCGAGGCAGUUGCUACAUGUGAGAGCGCACAAAAGGUGGUGUGUCAGACAGAAUAUAGUCUGUGUGGGUAUAAACACAAUGUUGAUUUAGCGUCUAAAUUAUAGCACUCAAGCCUUGAAAACAUUAAGCAUACAGCUUGCAGUAGAAUCUUUCACAGAAAACAAUAUAGAGGUAUUGUGAAAGACAUAAAGUGUAAACAUUCUUUUACAGAUUACCUUUUAUUUCUAAAGUAAAAUUUUCCACUAUGUUACUAUCCAGAAUUAGUUAUUUUUUUGAAAAUAAUUAAUAUAAAUCCAGAUGUAAAAUACCUAGCCCAUCAUCAGUAUAAAUCUGCCUGUUGUUUCACAGUCAAAACAAAACAACAACAAAAAGAAUAUUUUUUACGAUGCAUUUUAUGUUGCAGAGAAAAUCUAAAGCUCUUCUGUUGAUGCAUUUUAGAACAUGCAGACACAAAGAAGAAAACUAGCAUCUAAUUUCUAAUCUGUCCAAACAAGAAAUAAGACAUAGUCCUAAUGGAAAAAAAAAAAAAA